ACACAUGCAAGUCGAGGGGCAGCAUUCGGGUAGCAAUACCUGAGAUGGCGACCGGCGCACGGGUGCGUAACGCGUAUGCAACCUACCCAUAACAGGGGCAUAACACUGAGAAAUUGGUACUAAUUCCCCAUAACAUUCGAAGAGGCAUCUUUUCGGGUUGAAAACUCCGGUGGUUAUGGAUGGGCAUGCGUUGUAUUAGCUGGUUGGUGAGGUAACGGCUCACCAAGGCGACGAUACAUAGGGGGACUGAGAGGUUAACCCCCCACAUUGGUACUGAGACACGGACCAAACUCCUACGGGAGGCAGCAGUGAGGAAUAUUGGUCAAUGGACGCAAGUCUGAACCAGCCAUGCCGCGUGCAGGAAGACGGCUCUAUGAGUUGUAAACUGCUUUUGUACGAGGGUAAACUCAGAUACGUGUAUCUGACUGAAAGUAUCGUACGAAUAAGGAUCGGCUAACUCCGUGCCAGCAGCCGCGGUAAUACGGAGGAUUCAAGCGUUAUCCGGAUUUAUUGGGUUUAAAGGGUGCGUAGGCGGUCUGAUAAGUUAGAGGUGAAAUCCCGGGGCUUAACUCCGGAAUUGCCUCUGAUACUGUUGGGCUAGAGAGUAGUUGCGGUAGGCGGAAUGUAUGGUGUAGCGGUGAAAUGCUUAGAGAUCAUACAGAACACCGAUUGCGAAGGCAGCUUACCAAACUAUAUCUGACGUUGAGGCACGAAAGCGUGGG
rnacentral:rRNA from 1 species